GGGUCUGUAGCGCAGCCAGGUAGCGCACCGGACUUUUAAUCCGGUUGUCGUGGGUCCGAAUCCCACCAGACCCG
rnacentral:tRNA from 2 species